GUGAGGAAUAUUGGUCAAUGGACGAGAGUCUGAACCAGCCAAGUCGCGUGAAGGAAGACGGUUCUAUGAAUUGUAAACUUCUUUUGUGCAGGAAUAAAGUGGGUUACGUGUAACCUUUUGUAUGUACUGUACGAAUAAGGAUCGGCUAACUCCGUGCCAGCAGCCGCGGUAAUACGGAGGAUCCGAGCGUUAUCCGGAUUUAUUGGGUUUAAAGGGUGCGUAGGUGGAUUGAUAAGUCAGCGGUGAAAGUUUGCAGCUUAACUGUAAAAUUGCCGUUGAAACUGUCGGUCUUGAGAGCAAAUGAGGUAGGCGGAAGGUGUUGGGUAGCGGUGAAAUGCUUAGAUAUAACACAGAACUCCGAUUGCGAAGGCAGCUUACUGGGAUGCAACUGACACUGAUGCACGAAAGCGUGGGUAUCAAACAGGAUUAGAUACCCUUGUAGUCC
rnacentral:rRNA from 1 species